rnacentral:rRNA from 1 species
CGAACGAACCCUUCGGGGUUAGUGGCGCACGGGUGCGUAACGCGUGGGAACCUGCCUUUAGGUUCGGAAUAACAGUUAGAAAUGACUGCUAAUACCGGAUAAUGUCUUCGGACCAAAGAUUUAUCGCCUUUAGAUGGGCCCGCGUUAGAUUAGAUAGUUGGUGGGGUAAUGGCCUACCAAGUCGACGAUCUAUAGCUGGUCUGAGAGGAUGAUCAGCCACACUGGGACUGAGACACGGCCCAG